CGGUGACGCCAGUUAUCGUGGAGUCGUUGUUGAAAUACCACUCUGAUCGAAUUGGACCUCUAACCUCGGACCAUGAUCUGGUUCAGGGACAGUGCCUGGUGGGUAGUUUAACUGGGGCGGUUGCCUCCCAAAAUGUAACGGAGGCGCCCAAAGGUUCCCUCAGCCUGGUUGGCAAUCAGGUGUCGAGUGCAAGUGCACAAGGGAGCUUGACUGUGAGACUGACAGGUCGAGCAGGGACGAAAGUCGGGACUAGUGAUCCGGCACCGGCAAGUGGAAGCGGUGUCGCUCAACGGAUAAAAGGUACCCCGGGGAUAACAGGCUGAUCUUCCCCAAGAGUCCAUAUCGACGGGAUGGUUUGGCACCUCGAUGUCGGCUCGUCGCAUCCUGGGGCUGGAGUAGGUCCCAAGGGUUGGGCUGUUCGCCCAUUAAAGCGGCACGCGAGCUGGGUUUAGAACGUCGUGAGACAGUUCGGUCUCUAUCCGCCGCGCGCGUUAGAAACUUGAGGAAGGCUGUCCCUAGUACGAGAGGACCGGGACGGACGAACCUCUGGUGUGCCAGUUGUUCCGCCAGGAGCACCGCUGGUUAGCUACGUUCGGAAGGGAUAACCGCUGAAAGCAUCUAAGCGGGAAGCCUGUUCCAAGAUGAGGUUUCUCACCCCCUCGAGGGGGUAAGGCCCCCGGCAGACCACCGGGUUGAUAGGCCAGAACUGGAAGUGCAGUAAUGCAUGCAGGUGACUGGUACUAAUAGGCCGAGGACUUACCACA
rnacentral:rRNA from 1 species